rnacentral:rRNA from 1 species
UGGGGAAUAUUGCACAAUGGGGGAAACCCUGAUGCAGCGACGCCGCGUGAAGGAAGAAGUAUCUCGGUAUGUAAACUUCUAUCAGCAGGGAAGAAAAUGACGGUACCUGACUAAGAAGCCCCGGCUAACUACGUGCCAGCAGCCGCGGUAAUACGUAGGGGGCAAGCGUUAUCCGGAUUUACUGGGUGUAAAGGGAGCGUAGACGGCGGAGCAAGUCUGAAGUGAAAGCCCGGGGCUCAACCCCGGGACUGCUUUGGAAACUGUUAAGCUAGAGUGCAGGAGAGGUAAGCGGAAUUCCUAGUGUAGCGGUGAAAUGCGUAGAUAUUAGGAGGAACACCAGUGGCGAAGGCGGCUUACUGGACUGUAACUGACGUUGAGGCUCGAAAGCGUGGGGAGCAAACAGGAUUAGAUACC